rnacentral:lncRNA from 1 species
CCUGGCUCUCUGCUUUCUGCUUAGCUCUGCUGAAAUGCAAAUAUAAUCUCUCACCUCUCCCUCACAGGACAUUGCCUACACAGCAAGUUCCUCUAACUUCGUGCUCCAAGACAGGUCUCUCCUCCAGAGCUGACGGUGGAUUUACAGACCAAAGCAUGUCCCCAUGGAACUCUCACCUCCAGGGGCGUGCCUCGGAACUGCCAUCCUCCAGGGGUGACCUAGGAACUCAUACGCACCAGGACAGCACAUCGAAAGCAUGACCACUUGGCUACUUUUACAACUGAACUCUGCACAGGAAGGUGCCAACUCAACUGCCUGAGAGAGAUUUGGAUAUCCACCUUCCUGUUGACUUGCCCAGAUGUCUAUCACGGUGCCUUCCGUAUCCCAGGAGGACGUUGAACAUUGGCAGGCAUGCCUAGCUGAAAGCCGAUGCACCGAGGCCUGCUCCAUGCUAAGGCUGUAAUUCUUCACCCCAAGAAUCUUCAUUCUGGUCUUCAAGUAUUCAAGCACAGCCAAAAGCAAGCCUUCUACCAUAUCAUACAGUAGAAAGUAAAGAGAAAUUAGACUAUGUCUUCUCUGCUGCAUUGCUCCUUUGCCAUUGUUUUUCUGUGGACAGCUGCAUUCCUCUGCAAAUUCAGCUACUCCUGGAUAGACUCUCACAAUUCCAGCCUUAUGGAACUUCAGUAAUUCUAUUUCCACAUGCUGUCACUGCAGCUCUGAGUAGCUCAACAUCCCCUGUGUCUUUCCUCAACCCUGCUUCACUUCUGUAAGUAGUCCCUCUAUUACGUUCUGUUUAUUUGAACUAUUUGAGUGAAUCCAGUCUCCUGUUGUAGCCAUGACUGACAAUCAGUUGGCAUCAGGAGUUGGUAUUCUCAAGAUGGAAUUUGCAUCUGAGUCACUCAUAUAUUAAAUAAGUAAAUAAAUAACUUCCUUGUUGAGGAAGUCAGCACUGACAAUUUGUGGCAUGCAGUGACUUCUUUACUAGUCAGAUUAUUGGCGGAAGCAAGGAAUGAGAUGCGGAUAGAGGGCGAGUCUUUGAUGAUGAAGGGGCUGUUGAGUUUGAUAACUGGCCAGGCCAACAAAGGUGAUUUAACAGCAGAAUCUAGAUAGGAUGCUUUUGGAAGGAUCAUCCCUAUGGUGUAGAGCAGAAUAGAGAAUUACAAGAUAUAAAAUGUGAAAGGGCUG